AUUAUUCUUCGGUCGAUUCUCAAACUUUAAAUGCGCGUGUUGGGAUGUGUGCUUGGUUGACGCUCCCUUGGAAAAUGGCGGCCCUGUGGGCCACUUUUGGUAAGCAGAACUGGCGAUUCGGGAUGAACCGGAAGCUUGGUUAAGGCGUCAGACUGCCCGCUUAGAGACCCCACAAAAGGUGUUGGUUCAUCCAGACAGCAGGACGGUGGCCAUGGAAGUCGGAAUCCGCUAAGGAGUGUGUAACAACUCACCUGCCGAAUGAACUAGCCCUGAAAAUGGAUGACGCUUAAGCGGGUGGCCGAGACCGAGCCGUUGGGCUAAGAAGCGAGCCUAAUGAGUAGGAGGGCGUUGCGGUCUAGUUGGGAAGGCCUUGGAGCGAUCCAGGCUGGAACGGCCGCUAGUGCAGAUCUUGGUGGUAGUAGCAAAUAUUCAAGCGAGAUCCUUGAAGGGCGAAGCGAGGAAGGGUUCCACGCGAACAUUGAUUGGGCGUGGGUGAGUCGUUCCUAAGCCGGGUGGUAAUCGCUCUGCGAUCGGCGAAAGGGAAGCGGGUUAAAAUUCCCGCACACGGAUGUAUAUGCGGCGACGCAACUUGACAUGGAGACGUUGGCGGGGGCGCUAGGCAGAGUUGUCUUUUCUGUUUGACCUCAACUGCGCGCUGUGGAAUCCGAUUAUCGGUAGAAACAGGCGCGAAUGGGCAGAGCGUCGGGGCAUCCCCGGCGUCUAGUCCGCCUCCGACAGCCCUUGAAAAUCCAUGUGCAUUUACAAUAUACGCCGUGGCGUACCGAUAACCGCAUCAGGUCCUCAAGGUGAACAGCCUCUGCUCAAUAUGAACAAUGCAGGUAAGGGAAGUCGGCAAAAUAGACCCNGUAACUUUGGGAAAAGGGUUGGCUCUAGUGGGGUGGAGGAUUUUAAGGGGCUUUGGUGUUCUGCCGCUUGGCUGGACCGGGUGGGCUAAAGUGGCGCGAGCUGCUUUCGGA
rnacentral:rRNA from 1 species